CCUACGGGAGGCAGCAGUGGGGAAUAUUGGACAAUGGGGGGAACCCUGAUCCAGCGACGCCGCGUGAGUGAAGAAGUAUUUCGGUAUGUAAAGCUCUAUCAGCAGGGAAGAAAGAAAUGACGGUACCUGACUAAGAAGCCCCGGCUAACUACGGGCCAGCAGCCGCGGUAAUACGUAGGGGGCAAGCGUUAUCCGGAUUUACUGGGUGUAAAGGGAGCGUAGACGGCGAUGCAAGUCUGAAGUGAAAGGCGGGGGCCCAACCCCCGGACUGCUUUGGAAACUGGAUGGCUGGAGUGCAGGGGAGGUAAGUGGAAUUCCUAGUGUAGCGGUGAAAUGCGUAGAUAUUAGGAGGAACACCAGUGGCGAAGGCGGCUUACUGGACUGUAACUGACGUUGAGGCUCGAAAGCGUGGGGAGCAAACAGGAUUAGAUACCCGGGUAGUC
rnacentral:rRNA from 1 species